GUCUUCAUGUACAAUGGCUCAAUCGGUAGAGCAUGAGGCUCUUAAUUUCAGGGUCCUGGGUCUGAGUUCCACAUUGGGCCA